rnacentral:rRNA from 1 species
UACGUAGGUCCCGAGCGUUGUCCGGAUUUAUUGGGCGUAAAGCGAGCGCAGGUGGUUUAUUAAGUCUGGUGUAAAAGGCAGUGGCUCAACCAUUGUAUGCAUUGGAAACUGGUAGACUUGAGUGCAGGAGAGGAGAGUGGAAUUCCAUGUGUAGCGGUGAAAUGAGUAGAUAUAUGGAGGAACACCGGUGGCGAAAGCGGCUCUCUGGCCUGUAACUGACACUGAGGCUCGAAAGCGUGGGGAGCGAACAGG